UCCCUCGCCGCGCCUCCGCCCCGUCCGGGGCACCGGGCCCGGGAGCUCGGGGAUGUCCCGAGCGGAGCUGCCCGAGACGCUGUGAGUGUUCCACCCGUGACGGCUGUGUGAGCGGGGCCUGAGGCUCGACUCGUGCGUGAUGGCCGAGCAGUCGGACAAGGCUGUGAAGUACUACACCCUGGAAGAGAUCCAGAAGCACAACAACAGCAAAAGCACCUGGGUGAUCCUGCACCACAAGGUGUACGACUUGACUAAAUUUCUGGAAGAGCAUCCUGGUGGAGAAGAGGUCUUAAGAGAACAAGCUGGGGGUGAUGCUACGGAGAACUUCGAGGAUGUCGGGCACUCUACUGAUGCUAGAGAACUGUCCAAGACAUAUAUCAUCGGGGAGCUCCAUCCAGAUGACAGAUCUAAGUUAGCCAAGCCUUCGGAAUCUUAAAGGCGAUGUUUCAAGGAAUCUCUUAUUACUACUGUUGAGUCCAAUUCCAGUUGGUGGACCAACUGGGUGAUCCCAGCCAUCUCAGCCCUGGCUGUGGCCCUGAUGUAUCACCUCUACAUGGCAGAGGAUUGAAUGACUCGGAAGCCGUAGAAGGAAAAGGCUGCUUUGGAAAAAGGAGAAAAGAAGCCACUGUUAAUUACUUCGACUGACAGAAACCUUAGCCUGAAAAAAUAAUUUUAAUAUGUUCCUCUUCUUCCUACACUAGAAACAAAAUGAAAAGAACUGUUCUUUCUACUCUUAAACUUUUCAAAUGUGCCUUUUUAUUCAUCAGCUUUGUUUUGAUGUUUUCUCACUGUGUAAUUUGCUUAUUGUAAGCAUGAUCUUAUAAAAAUAUAUCUGGCUUUUAAAAUAUACCACCAUGUUGCCUGUCUGUUCAGUGUAGGCUUUUCUUCAGUGGUUAAGAUCUCUGGUCAUGGAGGUCCAGCUCAUAUGUGACUUGAGGCGAGGGCACAGCCCUUGGAGCGUCCUCGACAUUGUUGAGCAGUUCAUAUGCAGUCACCCCCUAUUUCCAAAGCCAUUUCUUUUUCAAGGAUAUUAAUAAAGGCUCAGAAAUUUUAGCUCAAGAAUUUAUAAUAAUUGUUUUGCUUAAAACACAUGAAAAAAAGAGAAAGUAGUCUCCAGGAUAUAAGAGAGACUGCCUGUCUUCUUUGAUAGAAAAAUGCCAGCAGCAUAACAAGGACCCACGGCCUGUGAGAGCCCAGCAGCUGCUCAUUCUAUCACUUUAAAAACAUCACCCCAAAGAGGCUCCCAGCAUUAUCCUUUCCCAAGUUCUGAGAGUCCUCCUUCAGAGGUGAAAGCAGUUUAUUUCCUCGCUUGAGGAGGUGCUAAUUACCUGACUUGUCAAAACAGUUGGAGGAGAUUAGGGACAUUUUAUCUAAUUUUGAAGCAGCUGUAGGUGAUGGGCCAUGAGGAACCCUGGUUGGCUUACUUCCUUUUUAGAGCUCUGGAUUGACUGGGUCAUCUCCUUUUCCAUUUGUGGUUCUCUGCCUCAUGUAUUAUUGUUAUGCUAUUUCCUUUAAAAAAUAGAACCCCAAAGGAGUAAUUUUCUUGAUCACUAGUAAGUUUGUAACAAGAUGUGAUCUAUCCUGCACAUUUCUGCUAGCCUGUUAGGGGACUGGACAGUGGUGACAUUCUUCAGAAAUAGCUAAAUACAUUGAAAUUUUAUUAUAAUAGAGUAUGGGUUUUUAUAAUCAAUGGCAUGCAUUACCCUUUGCCUUUUGUGUCACUGAAGAAGUGAAAGUUGGGCGAGGGAUGUGGAAAGGUGGCUGUAUCGAAAGGGAAACAUCUUUCAGGAGAAAGCAUCUCAUAGAGAUGGGAUUUCAUGUUCAGAUUUUAAUAAACAUAUCUCUAACAAAA